CUCUAUAUGACUUACCACAUCCUUCUUUGUGACACCAUACAUACUGCAAAACCUCAUCCUGGCUUCCUAGAAAGUAAAAGCCUGUGCUGUCUUCUGUCCUUGGGUUAGAUGAGGACACUUCCUGGAGAGCCUCACCAAGGAAUCCACCCCCACCUCCAAGACUCAGUAGCAGCCACAUCAAUCUCGAGCAAAGGGAAGGGCUCCACCCUCAAGGAUCUUAUCCAUGACAGACCCCUAGACCCAGGCAACUUGGCAAGGGAGCCUUUAAGAGUGCUGAGAGGUUGGGUCUGGCCUAGAAUGUUGGUGUCAAAGACAAAGGCCUUGAGGAACUGCAUGAAAUCAUCCACCGUGAGCCCAUGAGUGUCCUGGAGAUGACACAAAGGUAGAGAAACAGUUCCAUAUUAGGGAUUCAUUGAAUGCUUGUUGACAUGAUGGUGUUUUAGAAAGGUUUCUAAUCCCAAAUGUUUAAAUUUUCCAAUGCGUUGAAGGAGGCCCUUUUUUAACCAGUGUGUUUCAGCUAACUGGAACUUGAGCCCAUGGACAUUCUGGACAGCCACAGAGAAUCCUCUCUGGGAAAACCAGGGCCAACUCACAACAAGCGUGACUUCACCCUACACUCCCCAGUGCUGCGUGACGGGGACAAGAAGCCAAGGACAAAUAUCACACAUCUUCCAGGAGAGCCAAUUAUACUCUGUAGUUGGGUUUUUUUUUAAUAGGAUGAAAAUUACCAAAAAGAAUUUCCCUCAUGUUAAGACAUGCAUUUUUUUCUUAUUUCAGCAUUUCUAAAAUCUGAAGGCACUGAUGUCAUUGUUUAAUGUGGCCAUUUUCUUGCUUCUCAGAAAAAUUAAUUAAAUGUCAUUAAAUCCAGGGCACUUCAUGUAAUUGACAGCAUCUUAGAACUGAGGACAUUAAACAGCCAUUUAAAUAGAACUGUAAGUCAUUUAAGACAUUGUUUUAUGCGAACCCUUGGCAGGAUGCUUUAAAAUCAGAAGGCCA
rnacentral:lncRNA from 1 species